rnacentral:tRNA from 1 species
ACCUGGGUGGCUCAGUCGGUUGAGUGUCUGACUUCAGCUCAGGUCAUGAUCUCCCAGUUUGUGGGUUGAAGCCCCACAUCAGGCU